rnacentral:tRNA from 1 species
GCCCUUAUUGUUUAAUGGUAAAACAAUACUUUUUCGUAGUAUAAACGUGAGUUCGAAUCUCCCUAAGGGUA